rnacentral:tRNA from 1 species
GCGCCUGUAGCUCAGCGGACCAGAGCACCGGUCUUCGGAACCGGGUGUCGUGGGUUCGAAUCCCUCCAGGCGCG